UUCUCUUUGAUUUGUAUUAUCUCUAACGUUAUGAUGUUCUCUCUCGGAAGCUCUGCAAAGGUCUUCUAAUGAGAGAAGUCAUCGCUCGCCGCCGGUCUCGAGACAAUGAUGAUGGAGCCGCCGAUGAUCCAUCCGUUGAUGAUACAAGUCUUGUCUUGGCUGGAGAAGUAUAGUACAUCAGCGGAUAUCUGAGAGAUGGAUUCAUGUCUCUGUCGAGAUAUGAAGCCACAACUAGGGAUGCUACUACUACUUUUGGUUGGCGAGAGAGUAUGUGAUCCUAUCUUGGCCAAGAAAGAUGAUUCGCUCGCCUACAACCAUGUUGCUACUUUGAAAACUAACAAGUUGCAUCUUCCCCAUGGAAGAUACACAAGGAGCCAAGUGGAGAGCCGAGAUGUUUGUUCAAUAGACUGGUGGACUCGAGGAGGCUGCUUGCAGAUCAAACGCAAAGGCCAAGAUUCUACAUGAUGAGCUAGUGAAAUUGAUGGCUGGAGGAGAACUAUCUGACUACACUUUGCUAACUCAGUUCCUACAUUAAUAUGGUUGGCUAAUCUCCAAGGAGUUGGAAAGACAACGGUGUGCGCUAAACUUGCUUUUUUACUUAAAGAAGCAGCAGAGCUGCUGCUGCUUUGAGUGUGAAGGAGGAUGCAAGCAGAAAGUUUUUGUCUUCAUGAAAAUCCUGUAGGCUUCAGAUGCAGAGCUCUACUGGCCUGGCUUGGUCACCGUUUACUUUCGGGUCUGAAUUUGUUAGUUUCCAACAGUUGAUUCAAAAGGAGUUGAUGAGUAUGAGGAAUCUGAAGUAUAAGGUUUGUUUACCUGUUACUACUGAACCUUGUUUUGCUUAGCUCUUCUUGCGAAUAAGGCUUAACAAAUUGGUAGACACUUUCACACCGGGUCGACAUAACUAUGUCAUCAUGUACUUACUAAGAGAGAAGGUUUCAAUGGCUUUUGUCGACAUAAUUACAUCAUCAGCUGUUUUCUUGUGUUUCCUUGCAUGUGGAUUUGAUUCAGCUGCUAAUCAGUUGGGAAAUCGUUGACGAGCUCUGGUGACAACAUUCAAUGUAGAGCUAGGAAAUACAUUAGCCAUUUUGACAAAGCGAGAUGGUGAUUCAAGAGGUGCUGCUGUUUUGAGUGUCAUGGAGGUUUUCAACAACUGAUUCAAAAGGAGUUAAUGAGUCUGAGGAAUUGGAAUUAAAAGGAAACUACACAUAGAGCGGUUUAGAGGAUGAAGAAGAUCGAGUAAGUGCUGAUAUCAACAAAGAAGGAUCCAUGAACUUUUACACUAAGGUCUAGAAGAGGAGAUCAAAUCAGUUCUUAUAGAACUUUUAAUAGGCUAGCUUGGUACAAGGAGUAGCUAAAUCCUGAAAACAAGGUUCCUGCACUUGGACAGAAUGGGAAAAUCACUGGGGGAGUCUUGAUUUAAUCAAUUAUGUCGAUAGCAACUUGAGUGGGUCUUCACUUUAAGCCGAGUCUAAGAUCCUCCUGCAAAGAGAAAGUUUGGUGAAGACUUGUUGAAAUAUGUUGAUGAAACAUUGGUAGAAACCUGUGUUAGGCUCUUUCAAAGGUGACCCGGUAAAAGAGACAGGAUCGGGGAUCACAUGGAAAAUGCUUUGAAGAAGUUCUGGUGAAAACAUUCAAUGUAGAGAUAGGAAUAGCAGGAACCAUUUUGACAAAGCUAGAUGGUGAUCCAAGAGAUGUUGCUGCUUUGAGUGUCAAGGAGGUUUAUGUUCUUCUUCUUUGAUCAAUUAUGAUGGAAACAGGGAGUUUUUUUUGUCUUCAUGAAAAUCCAGUAGGCUUCAGAUGCAGAGCUCUACCGACCUGGUGGCAAUGAUGGACCUGAAGUCGCAGCUGCAAAGGUUAAUUCCGGAACAGCAGGGUAG